GGGCCUGGUCUCAAGACACAGUCAGUUGGGGAUCAGCGGCCACACUCAUCGUAGCAGAGAGGCAAGAACAGCUGGGAGAGGGUCCUUCUGUGACACCUAUUGCAUCACUGGGCUCUGUGAAGUGACUCAGCUGCCAGAACUCACACAAUAUCAUUCUGCACCAAAACCUCAAGGGAAAAAUGCAUCACGAACCUCAGACUUAAACAGCACAACAGGCUCCUCCCAGGUCUCCAGCUACACAGCCCUCAGACUAAACAGCAGCAGCAGCACCAGCUCCUCCCUGGGUCUCCAGCUCCACAAACCUCAAAUUAGAACAGCAGCACUGGCUCCACCCAGUCUCCAGCUCCACACCUCAAACUUGAACUACAGCACCAGCUCCUUCCUGGGUCUCCGGCUCCACGGACCUUAAACUAAAACAGCAGCACUGGCUCCUCCCCAGGUCCCCAGCUACAGACCCUCAAACUAGAAGAGCAGCACCAGUUCCACCUAGUCUCCAGCUCCACACCUCAAACUAGAACUUCAGCACCUGCUCCUCCCCGAGUCUCAAUAUCUGUGACCCUCAAAAUAAAACAGCAGGACCAGCUCCUCCUCUGGUCUUCAGCUUCACGACCUUAACUAUAACAGCACCACCCGGUCCU
rnacentral:lncRNA from 1 species